UGUGGCUGCACCGGAGUGCAAGUGUCUGAUGGCGUCCCAUCUCAAAAGCUAAGCAGGGCUGUGUCUGGUUAGUACUUAGAUGGGACUUGUAAGGCCAGGGGCUGCUAUCU
rnacentral:rRNA from 12 species